rnacentral:pre_miRNA from 10 species
CUUGUUAUCCUGAGAUGCAGAGUUCCUGUGCUGACUAAGUGGCUGUGAUGUAUCAUUUACUUAUAUCACAGCCUGCUUGGAUCAGUACAGUGUUCUGCUUGGUCAACAGAGCCUGUU